UCUCAUGUAAAAAAAUUAUUCAAGCACAUAUUAUUAAUACGCGAACGUGAUUAAUAAAUAUACAUGUUUUAUUAGUAUAAGAGCAGACAACAAUUUGAGUCGUCGAACACUCAAAUCUAGAGACAUGCAAGAUAGAAGAGCACAAAGAUCAGAUGAAGAAAGGGAACAAAUCAAUGCAGAUGUCCGUUUGAGCAUGGAGCAGUUACGUGCAUCACAAUUGCAAGAGACACGAGAUGACUGGAACCAGCAAAGACAAUUAGAAAGAAGGGAAGCGCACAGAUUCGUAGUCAACAGCCGUAGAGGAAUUGACCGACAACGUCAACAAGUAAAUCGAGCAUUUACAGCACAUUCAUUUCUUCACCUAGCAUUUCACUAUGAGCCUGAUGUUGAAUAUGACGCUCAUUCCAAAGUGGUCAUUGGACGAGGAAUGCCCGCACUGCCAUGCCUUUACAUUAAAAAAUGAGCUGAUUGGGAUAUAUUGCUCAUCAGGAAAGUCAAUUCGAAAAUUAAUUUCAUGCUUUCAAAUGACAUCGUUUGGAUCAACGGAAAUAGUUAAUAAUACUGCUGCAAAUGGUCAACAAUUUAAUUCCACAUUCAAAAUCAAAGGCCAAGUUUACCACAAUGGGCGAUUUUCCGUGAUA
rnacentral:sRNA from 1 species